AAACAUGAGAGUUUGAUCCUGGCUCAGAAUCAACGCUGGCGGCGUGCCUAACACAUGCAAGUCGAACGCGAAAACGGGCUUCGGCCCGCAAGUAGAGUGGCAAACGGGUGAGUAACGCGUGGGUGACCUACCUUCGAGUGGGGGAUAACGUUCCGAAAGGGGCGCUAAUACCGCAUGACAUCCCGUCUUUGGAAAGAUGGUGAUCAAAGCUGGGGAUCGCAAGACCUAGCGCUUGUUGAGGGGCCCGCGUCCGAUUAGCUUGUUGGCGGGGUAAUGGCCCACCAAGGCGACAAUCGGUAGCCGGCCUGAGAGGGCGGACGGCCACACUGGGACUGAGACACGGCCCAGACUCCUACGGGAGGCAGCAGUGGGGAAUUGUUCGCAAUGGGCGCAAGCCUG
rnacentral:rRNA from 1 species